GUUGAAUUCCACUUAACCUACAAUGCUGUUUUAAUUAGUAUUAAUUUACUAAUAAACUUCUCCAAAAUAUUGCCACUGGUAGAAGAAAAUAAAUCAUUCUUGAAAAAAAGUCAAAAGCAAUUCAAAGAAAAACCUACUGAUUUUAUUAUUUUCUUUUCUGCGAUUAUCUUUUUGGUCAUUCACCCUUUUCAUUAGACUAAAAAACCCAGCCAGCCAGAGAAGCGCAGACAGAGUUUAGUUCCAGUGUUUAGAUUGAAGAACACAAUAGCUCCGAAAAAAAAAAAAGGAAAAUCAUAAAAGAAUCCGAACAAAAGCCGAUGUUAAGAUCGAGAUCUUAACAAAGAAAGAGAGAAAUCUAAUCUAAUAAAAGAAUGAAAGCUUUGAACUUGGUUGUUCAGUUUCUGUUAUUUCUUUUGUUGUUUUCUUUGCACAAAGCAGUCGCAGAAGGCGUCACUCCCAAGGAAGCUAAGCAGCUCAGAGAUGAGGUGCGCGAAAUGUUCUAUCAUGCUUUUGAUGGAUAUAUGGAACAUGCAUUUCCACUUGAUGAGUUGAGACCUCUAUCGUGUGAAGGAGAAGAUACGCUUGGUGGUUAUGCCUUGACGCUGAUUGAUUCUUUAGACACACUGGCUUUACUUGGAGACCGAGAACGCUUUACUACCUCUGUUGAAUGGAUUGGUAAAAAUCUUCGGUUUGAUAUAAAUAAAACAGUUUCCAUUUUUGAGACCACCAUCAGGGUCCUUGGAGGUCUGCUUUCUGCUCAUCUUAUUGCAAGUGACUAUGCUACGGGCAUGAGAAUUCCUUCCUAUGACAAUCAAUUACUUGACUUAGCUGAAGAUUUGGCCAGGAGAUUAUUACCUGCAUUUGACACUCCUACAGGAAUCCCAUUUGGAUCUGUUAAUUUAAAGCAUGGAGUUGAUGAACAUGAAAGCAAGAUAACAUCAACAGCUGGUGGUGGGACUUUGACCCUUGAAUUUGGAGUGCUAAGCCGUUUGACAAAUGAUCCUAUUUUUGAGCAAGUUACAAAGAAUGCUGUUCGGGGCCUGUGGGCUCGCCGCUCAAAGCUUAACUUAGUCGGUGCUCAUAUCAAUGUUUUUACUGGUGAAUGGACACAGAAGGAUGCUGGAAUAGGGACAAGCAUUGACUCCUUCUAUGAGUAUCUUCUGAAGGCAUAUUUGUUGUUUGGAGAUGAAGAGUAUUUGUUCAUUUUCCAAGAAGCAUAUAGUGCUGCUAUGCACUAUCUUUACAAUGACCCUUGGUAUGUAGAGGUCAAUAUGGAUUCUGCUGCUAUUGUCUGGCCGUUAUUUAACAGUUUACAGGCAUUUUGGCCCGGGCUUCAGGUUUUAGCGGGGGAUAUUGAUCCUGCUAUUCAAACGCAUACUGCUUUCUUCAGUGUCUGGAAAAGAUAUGGUUUCACUCCUGAGGGUUUUAAUCUUGCUACACUUAGUGUUCAGCAUGGGCAAAAGAGUUACCCUUUGCGUCCAGAGUUAAUAGAAAGCACAUAUUGGCUCUACAAAGCUACCAGAGAUCCCAGAUAUCUGGAUGCUGGACGAGACAUGGUUGCUAGCUUGCAAUACGGGGCAAGAUGCCCUUGUGGUUAUUGUCAUAUAUCAGAUGUCGAGUUUCACAAGAGGGAGGAUCACAUGGAGAGCUUUUUCCUGGCAGAAACAGUGAAAUAUUUGUGGCUCCUUUUCGAUUUGGCUGUGGGUCCCGACAACCUUGUUGAAAAUGGACCAUACAAGUACAUAUUUAACACUGAGGGCCAUUUAUUGCCUGCAACUCCUCAAAUAUCUCUAUUGCGAGAGCAUUGUUCAUAUUUCGGGGCUUAUUGUAACCGGGGUGACUUUAAAGAAGAGCCUCAUGCAUCAGACAAGUCUGCUGAUUCUCAUGAAACUAAUGGUGGUAGAGUUUCUGAGGUUUGGAAUCGGACUGGAUUUCCAUUGGAUUCUUCUUAUCUUGAGGCAUCUCCUGUAUCAGGGCUGAUUAAGGGCCUUUGUCCAGGACUAACUCAUGGGCAGAAGUAUGGCAUUUCAUAUCUGGCUUCAGUUGAUACACCUCAUGAAGAUAAUUCAGCAAAACAAACAGAUACUCCCGUUCAGAGCCAUGCUUUAGUUGUUGUUUCUGGCCAAAGUACUAAUCAAUCACUAUCUGGUGACAGCAACAAUGACAAUGUUGAAGAAUCAACUGAUAGGGAAUCAGAGAGUGAUCCAUCUCAAUCAUGAAAAGGCUUCUUGGCCGUGUGUAACAAACUGGGUGCCCUGAACCACAUAAUGGAACCAGGUUGUAACAAUGCCUGAGGGACUUGUUAGUGAGGGCAGGAGGUACUUUAAGCAUAUGCUGGAAGAAUAUAGAAUUCAACCCUCAGAAAAACACUAUGCAUGUGUUGUUGACCUUCACGGUCGAGCUGCGAGCCUUGAAGAGGCAUAUAACCUUGUAAGAAACAUGCCAAUUAUACCUAGUGCAGUUGUUUGGGGAGCUUUCCUUGCUGCUUGUAGGGUCCAUUGCAAUGUACAAUUAGCUGAAAUUGCUGGAGAUGGUGUUUCUAGAAUGAGAGCAAUGAUUAGGAAGAAUAGAACUUCCAGCUGGAUUGAGUUUUGGGGUGUGUUAUCAUGAAUUUGUCACAGGAGAUCCUUUGCAUUUUGAGUCCGAAAGAAUAUACUUUACCUUAAAUUUGAUCAGUGAAAAAAUGAUACUCUUGGGAUUUUUAAGAGACUCAAAAAAGUAUCGCCGUACCAUGCUUUUCUGGUUUUCUGAUGUGUGCUCAUUUAACAUUUUGGGAAAUGGCUGAUCAAAAGAAAUUUGUAAGAAGAAAGAUUGUUAGUCUUUUGGCAAUAGAUCACCCUUUUUGGUUAUUAUUGGACAUUGUCAACUGCUCCAUCAGCAUUUUUCCUGCCUGUGAGAAUCUAGUACAUCCUUCACAUUUUUUUGGUCUUAUAAAUCAGAAUGAAAACAAUUCAGGAAUGUAUAACAUGAUGCCAAAUAUUCAAGUAUCCGCUAUCCAGGUGCCAAAGAAAACACAGUUCAUGGAUGCACCAGUAAGCUUUAUGACAUCUCUUGGAAAUUUAUCUGCAUGGAAAUGCUUAUUUUCUGCUACCAAGUUGUACUUCAGACUCGUUACUUUUUGAGGCAAAGCACUGUAAAGUUGUGGCCAAGUUGGAAGCGCCACUAAUUUUGUCCCAAAAGUUAAUAUCUAGUGGGGAAAAAACUUUUUGGGUCUGGUGUUCUGCAAUUUUGACUAGUAUAGUCCUAAAGGAGCAGAUUGCGAGGAAAAGGUGAUAUUAUGUAGGUACAAAGAAUAACUGGCUUAGAAAUAGAAACUUAUUUCAGUUAUAAAAAAUGACAUUUACUAAGUGUUAGGAUUCAAAUUUCAAUGCUUGCAACCCAUUUUCCUAUUCCAAAUUGCAAUCUCGUUUAUAAAAAAUAAUUGGCUGAAGGUGUCAGUUUGAGUAUCAUAAAAUACUAUCAGCAUUGUUAUUUUCUUUUUCUCGACAUCUUAGAGUACCCUUGUCUCUGUUUGAUUUCAUAAUGGUAUGAAAACUUUGGUAACUUUAAAUCAGUUUCAAGUUCUCCCUUAUAUUCCAUGAUAUCC